GAUGAAGAACGUAGCGAAAUGCGAUAAGUAAUGUGAAUUGCAGAAUUCAGUGAAUCAUCGAAUCUUUGAACGCACAUUGCGCCCGUCAGUAUUCUGGCGGGCAUGCCAGUUCGAGCGUCAUUACGCCCCUCAAGUCCCCUGUGGACUUGGUGUUGGGGAUCGGCGAGGCUGGUUUUCCAGCACAGCCGUCCCUUAAAUUAAUUGGCGGUCUCGCCGUGGCCCUCCUCUGCGCAGUAGUAAAACACUCGCAACAGGAGCCCGGCGCGGUCCACUGCCGUAAAACCCCCCAACUUUUUAUAGUUGACCUCGAAUCAGGUAGGACUACCCGCUGAACUUAAGCAUAUCAAUAAGCGGAGGA
rnacentral:misc_RNA from 1 species